rnacentral:rRNA from 1 species
CACUCCAUGGCUCGGCCUAUCAGCUUGUUGGUGGGGUAAUGGCCUACCAAGGCUUCGACGGGUAGCCGGCCUGAGAGGGUGACCGGUCACACUGGGACUGAGACACGGCCCAGACUCCUAUGGGAGGCAGCAGUGGGGAAUAUUGGACAAUGGGCGGAAGCCUGAUCCAGCAACGCCGCGUGAGGGAUGACGGCCUUCGGGUUGUAAACCUCUUUCAGUACCGACGAAGCGAAAGUGACGGUAGGUACAGAAGAAGCACCGGCCAACUACGUGCCAGCAGCCGCGGUAAUACGUAGGGUGCGAGCGUUGUCCGUAAUUAUUGGGCGUAAAGGGCUCGUAGGCGGUUUGUCGCGUCGGGAGUGAAAACACCGUGCUUAUCACGGUGCUUGCUUUCGAUACGGGCAGACUAGAGGCAUGCAGGGGAGAACGGAAUUCCUGGUGUAGCGGUGAAAUGCGCAGAUAUCAGGAGGAACACCGGUGGCGAAGGCGGUUCUCUGGGCAUGUCCUGACGCUGAGGAGCGAAAGUGUGGGGAGCGAACAGGAUUAGAUACCCUGGUAGUCCACACCGUAAACGUUGGGCGCUAGGUGUGGGAUCCAUUCCACGGGUUCCGUGCCGCAGCUAACGCAUUAAGCGCCCCGCCUGGGGAGUACGG